UACGGGGGGAGCAAGCGUUGUUCGGAUUUACUGGGCGUAAAGGGCGCGUAGGCGGCGUAACAAGUCACUUGUGAAAUCUCCGGGCUUAACCCGGAGCGGCCAAGUGAUACUGUUGUGCUAGAGUGCGGAAGGGGCUACUGGAAUUCUCGGUGUAGCGGUGAAAUGCGUAGAUAUCUGGAAGAACACCCGUGGCGAAGGCGGCUCUCUGGUACGUGACUGACGCUGAGACGCGAAAGCGUGGGGAGCGAACAGG
rnacentral:rRNA from 1 species